AGAGUUUGAUCCUGGCUCAGGAUGAACGCUGGCGGCGUGCCUAAUACAUGCAAGUCGAGCGAACGGACGAGAAGCUUGCUUCUCUGAUGUUAGCGGCGGACGGGGGAGUAACACGUGGAUAACCUACCUAUAAGACUGGGAUAACUUCGGGAAACCGGAGCUAAUACCGGAUAAUAUUUUGAACCGCAUGGUUCAAAAGUAAAAGACGGUCUUGCUGUCACUUAUAGAUGGAUCCGCGCUGCAUUAGCUAGUUGGUAAGGUAACGGCUUACCAAGGCAACGAUGCAUAGCCGACCUGAGAGGGUGAUCGGCCACACUGGAACUGAGACACGGUCCAGACUCCUACGGGAGGCAGCAGUAGGGAAUCUUCCGCAAUGGGCGAAAGCCUGACGGAGCAACGCCGCGUGAGUGAUGAAGGUCUUCGGAUCGUAAAACUCUGUUAUUAGGGAAGAACAUAUGUGUAAGUAACUGUGCACAUCUUGACGGUACCUAAUCAGAAAGCCACGGCUAACUACGUGCCAGCAGCCGCGGUAAUACGUAGGUGGCAAGCGUUAUCCGGAAUUAUUGGGCGUAAAGCGCGCGUAGGCGGUUUUUUAAGUCUGAUGUGAAAGCCCACGGCUCAACCGUGGAGGGUCAUUGGAAACUGGAAAACUUGAGUGCAGAAGAGGAAAGUGGAAUUCCAUGUGUAGCGGUGAAAUGCGCAGAGAUAUGGAGGAACACCAGUGGCGAAGGCGACUUUCUGGUCUGUAACUGACGCUGAUGUGCGAAAGCGUGGGGAUCAAACAGGAUUAGAUACCCUGGUAGUCCACGCCGUAAACGAUGAGUGCUAAGUGUUAGGGGGUUUCCGCCCCUUAGUGCUGCAGCUAACGCAUUAAGCACUCCGCCUGGGGAGUACGACCGCAAGGUUGAAACUCAAAGGAAUUGACGGGGACCCGCACAAGCGGUGGAGCAUGUGGUUUAAUUCGAAGCAACGCGAAGAACCUUACCAAAUCUUGACAUCCUUUGACAACUCUAGAGAUAGAGCCUUCCCCUUCGGGGGACAAAGUGACAGGUGGUGCAUGGUUGUCGUCAGCUCGUGUCGUGAGAUGUUGGGUUAAGUCCCGCAACGAGCGCAACCCUUAAGCUUAGUUGCCAUCAUUAAGUUGGGCACUCUAAGUUGACUGCCGGUGACAAACCGGAGGAAGGUGGGGAUGACGUCAAAUCAUCAUGCCCCUUAUGAUUUGGGCUACACACGUGCUACAAUGGACAAUACAAAGGGCAGCGAAACCGCGAGGUCAAGCAAAUCCCAUAAAGUUGUUCUCAGUUCGGAUUGUAGUCUGCAACUCGACUACAUGAAGCUGGAAUCGCUAGUAAUCGUAGAUCAGCAUGCUACGGUGAAUACGUUCCCGGGUCUUGUACACACCGCCCGUCACACCACGAGAGUUUGUAACACCCGAAGCCGGUGGAGUAACCUUUUAGGAGCUAGCCGUCGAAGGUGGGACAAAUGAUUGGGGUGAAGUCGUAACAAGGUAGCCGUAUCGGAAGGUGCGGCUGGAUCACCU
rnacentral:rRNA from 3 species